rnacentral:lncRNA from 1 species
AAAAAUAAAAAUACAUGCAUAUUUUACCCUCUAGAAUGACAUAGAAUAGUUCAAAGAUAAAUCCAACACUGUACAAAAAUACAUAUGGAUAUGCAUUUGUAUAUACAAAGUACAAAUACAUGCCCUAGAAAAAUUUAUAUAUACAACCAGAUUUGUAUAUAUAUACAGAUGAGUACCCAUUAGUUAAUAAAUACAUAUAUAAAUACAUUUUCGUCUUUAUAUUCUUCAAAAUCAUAUUUAAAAGAGUUUCAACAUCAGGACUUGAAAUUUUGCUUGAUUCUCUGAUUUUUUUUCCUUAGAUCUUUGUAUUUUUGGGGGGAUUUUGAAGAUGAAGGUUUCUUCAACCCUUUUUGUUUCAUUAUUUUGAUCAUCUUUUCUAGAUCAUUACAAUGCUUCGAUCUCACCUCUUCGACGCUCGCUAAUUUCUUUAAUUAUUCUGUCAUUAAAGCAAACCUCCACAAUCAUACAAUAAAAAAAUCACAAAAAAAAAAAACGUAACAACAAUGAUGAACAAAAAAUAUAAAAUAUAUAAAAUUUGGGGAAGAGAUAACAUACAACAACGGUAAAAAUACUAGUUACAUUAUUUUUUGAAGCACGAUCUUUAUCUGUUAAGGUGAAAAAAUGUAAGAAAAAAUUGGAAUUAAAAUAUGAAGAAUAUGCGCUAUUUGUAAAAAAAGAUACAGUAAAAUAGAAAAGAGAAUAAGUGUAAGAGUGAAAAUAGGAGAAGUUACUCCUUGUUGUAAACACUCAUGUAUUGAGUGGCCCCAUAAAAAAAUGCUAGUUUUGCUAUAAAAUAUAAUUUUAUGAAAGUGUUGUUAUUUAUCAUAAUUAUGAUCUUAAGCUUUUCACUUUUUGUAAUUUAAUUUGGGGCAUUUGACUUUUGUUAAAUUUUUAGCCUUUUUCAACUUGGGUUAUUCGGUCUUUUUAUAAAAAUGUUCCAGUUGUUCUUUUUUGGCUACGAAUGUUUUAACUGAAAAAUAUUCUAUUUUUUGGUUGUUUAAAAAUAAUAAUUAAAUAUAAUUGUAUAAAAACGAUAAAAUUAUUAUAUAGAAUUUGUACCUAUAUACAAUAUAUUAUAUAUAUAUGUAUGUAUGUAUGUAUGUAUGUAUGUAUGUAUGUAUGUAUGUAUGUAUGUAUAAACUAUAUAUAAAAAAUUGAAUAGAAUGUGUAUAGAAAAUUAUAGUUGUUGUAUAAAAUAGGUAUUUGAAUAAUAAUUGCAGCUAAAACUUGUAUAAAAAUUAUAUAAUUAUUGUAUAAAAUUUGUAAAAAAAUUAUAUAAUUAUUGUAUAAAUUGUGUAUCAAAACUAUAUAAUUUUUGUAUAAAAUAUGUAUAUGUAUAACAUAUGUAUAGAAACUGUAUAGAAUGUGCAUAGAAACUGUAUUGAACAAGCCAAUAAAUAAAAAUGGCUAAAAAAUAAAAUUUAAAUUCCAUGACCAUUUUCAGUGGUUGUCCCAUAGUUACACUUGCGGGGGACUAUUAGGAUAAAAACUCAGUGAUAUAUUUCACUUAGGAUACUCAUGGUAGUUAUCAAUUAGAUAUCCUUAAUAUAUUCACUAACUGCGUAUGUAUUGUGUUAUAUGUAUGUAUUGUGUUAUAUAUUUUGUCAUCAGUAAUUGUAAAACUCAAAUUUGAUUUACUAUUAAAAUUCAGUUAGUUUUAGAAGCUUAUGUACGUCACAAUCUUGGUAUUGUGUAUAUUUAAAAGGAAAUUUAAUUUUGUAGUCCUUUAUAAAUUAUUUUUUGAUUUUAUGCUUUUUCUUAGAAGGAAUUUUCAUUUUCACAUAGGAGAUUUUUAUUUUUAUAUGUAAGAGAUAUGAAGAGGUCGUUUCUUCUAUCAAAUUUUUAAGAUAUGAUUAGAGAUAAAUAAUGAGUUCAGAGCCUAAAGGGCAAUUCUUUUUAUCAAAAGUUUCAGAGGGGCAAGAGAGGAAGGAAAAAUUUCAAAGGGGAAAAGGCGUGACCUUUCUUAUGCAUACUUUUAAAACCCAACAGCUGUUAGUUAUCAAAAGAUCUAAGGCGUGAAGACAUCUUGUAAGGAAAAAGCUCUCCCACGUCUUAGCUUCUAAGAGGUUAUUUGGUAGAGUGUAUAAGAAUAAUACAAAAUAUGAUGUAUUAAUAAUGUUUACAUUAGUAGUGCAAGUAUUAGUUAUGCUUGCAUUAGUUAAGUUGAGAUUAUUUAUUAUGCGAGUUAAAACUAACUUUCAUUGCAUAUUUUUAAAUAAAAUAAUAUUUACUAAAAAACCCUCCACACAUAUAAUAAAAUGAUGUGAAAAAGAUUUUUAGGGGCUAUUGUGUCUUUACACAUGCUAAUGCACGCAUUAAAAUUCAUUGCAUUGCUAUUACCAAAGAUUUUCCAUGUAUUAUGCAUAGCAUAAUGCACAAUAAAGUUUAUAAAAAAUGCUUGCAUUAGUUAUACAUAGGUUGAAAAAUAUACCAAACAAGACAUUAAUAAUACCAAAUAAGACAUUAAUAAUACACAAAGCUAAUGCAUACAUUAUUUUUUCUAAUGAAUCAUAUCAAAUGACCCCCUUAAAUGUCGUGCCUUUUCAUGUUUGUAUAAUUAACUAGAAAUAGUCAUCAUUUCACCCCUGAACUUAUCCUCACAACUUAUUUUAAACCUUUAACUUAAUACACAUUUAUUUACCCUCCCUUAAUAAGUUUAAAGUGAAUUGAUAUCACCCCUAAUACUGAUGUGACAUUAAUUCAAAAAAUCCCCCACAUAUUUUAUUAAAAAAAUGAGAUGGUCUCACUUUUAUUUUAAUAUNNNNNNNNNNNNNNNNNNNNNNNNNNNNNNNNNNNNNNNNNNNNNNNNNNNNNNNAUAUGUACGUAUGUAUAUAUAUAUAUAUAUAUGUAUGUAUAUAUAUAUGUAUGUAUGUAUUGUAACACCCCGGAUUUUCGAUCAUUCAAAUUUCUGAAAUUUUAUCCUCACUUCUGACUACGACUCCCCUUACGACUUAUUCAUUAACUACCUAACUCAGUCUGAAAAAAUUUUAGUCAUAACCUACCUUAAAAUUCAAGAUUAAAGUAUUUAAACACAGAGUCUUCUCCUUUUGAAUGGUCUCAGAAUCAAUUACAACAUUCAAAUAUAACAUCUAUGCAUUAAAAGAAACCUAAUGAUACUCAUAUUGCCCAUAUUUAGGUCGAGUCCAAAAUAAAUUUGAAAUAAAAGGGCAAAAAUUGAAAUUUUCUUUUAGAAACAUAUUCCUCAAGGUUAUAGGAGUCUACAGUUGUAAAUCCAUGUGAAAAUAAGUUAAAACAAGGUUUAAAUCAAAGAAAAAUCACUUUUAAGCGUUACCGGUAAAAACAUCAAAGACCUAUUUCAAAAUUGAGAUUAAAGAGUGUUUUCGAAGUUAUAAUCGGUAGGAAUAAAUAGGAACAGGAUUUUGGAGCUUACCCAAGCUCAAAUGAUGAAAUAAACCCUAAACAUUGCCAACAUUUGAAGUUUUGAGGUUAAAAAAUGAUGAAAUUUAAGAAAAUGAGGUAUUUAUACUAUUCUGUGAACAUUACCUCGCAAACGCAAAUCCCAUAUCGCGAUUGUGAGGGUUUGACGAGUCCCUUUUAAAGGCCUUCAUAUUUGCAAAACUCCAUAACUCGGGCAUCCAUAUUCGUGACAACCCUGUCGCAUUCGCGAAGAAGGCAUGACCCGACCCGACCCCCAAAUGUCCUUCAUGGUCACGACUUCCUUGCAAUUAUGAUGAAGGAAAAUAUUUUUCUCUGUAAUAGUGGAUGAAGGCCCAUGUUCACAAAGAAGGAAAUGGGCCUAUAGCAGAUUCAACAAACAAACCAAGAUUUGAUAAGUUAAAAUAUUCUAAACGAGCCAUUUAGAUUUAUUUGGGACCCUACAAAAAUAAAUCGCACAUGAUACGAGGCUUAUUUCAAUGUUUCAGACUCAAUGGAUACAUUUGAUUUUUAAAACAAUAUCAUGUUCAAUAUAUUAUCCCCUGGGGACCCCUUUAAUGCAUAUUUCACUAGUUUUUCAAACGGAGGUUCAAAAUGCAAACUAAAGUCUCCAAACACAAAAAAACUCCGCUACUAAUCCAAAUUUGAUAUUCCAGAUCUAAUGGAACUAUCCAAAUCACCAUCCAACACUCAGAACAUUAAAUAUUGACUGAGGACAACUAUAGAACUUUUAAAGCUCCUAAACACCUCAAACUCUCCUAAAACCCUCCCGAAGGCAUUAAAAAUCAUACUACCCAUCCUCAUACCUCAAAAUCAAUAAGUAGAAACUAAGAAAAAUAAAAAAAAUGGCCAUAUUACUACAAAAAAAAUUUCACAAAUCAGGUCAUUACAUAGAUUCAUUCUAAGAGAGAAAAGAAAUUAAACUUAUGCAAGGAUACUGACUCAAUUAAUCAAGAGGGUUCAAUUUGAGGGAUAAGAGAAUUUACCCAAAAUUCAUAAAGGAGACUAAACACCAAUGUUGAUGCAAAAGAUAACUAACUCUAAUAUGGAAGAUAGGACUAUUUACACUAGUCUUGCAAAAAUCAUCAAAUUACAAAUAUGAAAAAAUUACAAAGAUGAUCAAAUUAUAAAAACCAUGGCCACUUGUGCCCUUUAUGAUCUCCUUAGUUAUCACCACUUUUCUUAUAAAUUUAUCUGAUCAUGUUAUGAACUUUAAAAUCUCUUUUGAUGAUCCUUUUAUUACACUUUAAAUUCUUUGUCGGUGGUUGAAAGGUUCCAUAUUCAAGAUAGUUCACAUCGUCACUUUUGCUAGUACACUUUUGCUAGUAAUCUUUGUAACUCGAUUUGCACCAUUAUCCCCUUCUUCAAAAGAAUUCAUUCUCAAAUUCAAGCCUUGUAAAAUAAAGGAGGGAACAACAAUUAGACAAAAAUUAUCAUAAUCAUUCAAAGCAUUGUCAAUACUAUAAGACGCACCCCCGAGAUCAAAAUCAAACUUUAAUUUUAUAAGAACAUCAAGAAUAACUGUAAAUAUCAAUAAGAAAUCAUCACUCCAAAAUAGAAUCAAAUGAACUCGCCCUGUCUAUGGAGUACAGAUCCGGUCUAGGGUCUCUGCUCCUGAUUGUACUUCCCUAUGUGAAGUUUUGUCGGUUCCUACUAGUCUUCAUCGGGCUUCCCAGACUGAUGAUACUCUUGCCCAAAUGCCCCAGAGAGAUAUUUCUAAUCCAGAGUUUCGCCAGUCUAUCCAUCUGCUUACUCAAUUGGUAGUCUCUCUGUCUAGCCAGUCUGAUUAUGUUGGUUUUGUUGCUCCUUCAUCUGGGGUCACUCGAGUUGAUCAGUUCAUGAGGGUGACUCCCCCAAACUCUAUACUUGUAUCACUCAAUACUCGUGUAUACACUCAAGAUC